rnacentral:rRNA from 1 species
GAUGAACGCUGGCGGCGUGCCUAAUACAUGCAAGUCGAGCGAACAGACGAGGGGCUUGCUCCUCUGACGUUAGCGGCGGACGGGUGAGUAACACGUGGAUAACCUACCUAUAAGACUGGGAUAACUUCGGGAAACCGGAGCUAAUACCGGAUAAUAUAUUGAACCGCAUGGUUCAAUAGUGAAAGACGGUUUUGCUGUCACUUAUAGAUGGAUCCGCGCCGCAUUAGCUAGUUGGUAAGGUAACGGCUUACCAAGGCAACGAUGCGUAGCCGACCUGAGAGGGUGAUCGGCCACACUGGAACUGAGACACGGUCCAGACUCCUACGGGAGGCAGCAGUAGGGAAUCUUCCGCAAUGGGCGAAGGCUUGACGGAGCAACGCCGCGUGAGUGAUGAAGGUCUUCGGAUCGUAAAACUCUGUUAUUAGGGAAGAACAAAUGUGUAAGUAACUAUGCACGUCUUGACGGUACCUAAUCAGAAAGCCACGGCUAACUACGUG